UACGGAAGGCAACAGUGGGGAAUAUUGCACAAUGGGCGCAAGCCUGAUGCAGCCAUGCCGCGUGUAUGAAAAGGCCUUCGGGUUGUAAAGUACUUUCAGUCGUGAGGAAGGUGUUAAGGUUAAUAACCUUAGCAAUUGACGUUAGCGACAGAAGAAGCACCGGCUAACUCCGUGCCAGCAGCCGCGGUAAUACGGAGGGUGCGAGCGUUAAUCGGAAUUACUGGGCGUAAAGGGCACGCAGGCGGUUAAUUAAGUUGGAUGUGAAAUCCCCGGGCUUAACCUGGGAAUGGCAUUCAAGACUGGUUAGCUAGAGUCUUGUAGAGGGGGUAGAAUUCCAUGUGUAGCGGUGAAAUGCGUAGAGAUGUGGAGGAUACCGGUGGCGAAGGCGGCCCCUGGACAAGACUGACGCUCAUGUGCGAAAGCGUGGGGAGCAAACAGGGAUUAGAUACC
rnacentral:rRNA from 1 species